AACUGAACAGGGAUCGUCUUGGACUUCGCCUUCAACCAAAGGGUGCUCAGCCAGUACACGCCGUUUACACACUGGAAAAGUACUUAUGCUAUAUUUAAUCUACACAUGCAUGAGUGUGUACACAGUCAGUUUGUAUGUACUGAUGCAUAUAUUCACACUCAUUACAACUUCUCCACACACACACACACACACACACACACGUUUGUACAGUAUGUAAAUAGAGUCCUGGCCUACACAUUGUGCAGGUGAUGGAGGAUGAAAGCAGCUGGAUGAAUGCUAACGGCACAAUGAAGCGGACACACACAUCCUGCACCACG